UACGUAGGGUGCGAGCGUUGUCCGGAAUUAUUGGGCGUAAAGGGCUCGUAGGCGGUUUGUCGCGUCGGCUGUGAAAGCCCGGAGCUCAACUCCGGGUCUGCAGUCGAUACGGGCAGACUUGAGUGUUGCAGGGGAGACUGGAAUUCCUGGUGUAGCGGUGAAAUGCGCAGAUAUCAGGAGGAACACCAGCGGCGAAGGCGGCAUCCUGGACUGGUCCUGACACUCAGGAGCGAAAGCGUGGGGAGCGAUCCGGA
rnacentral:rRNA from 1 species